rnacentral:tRNA from 1 species
CGGAGCAUGGCGCAGUCUGGUAGCGCACCUGCUUUGGGAGCAGGGGGCCGUUGGUUCGAAUCCGACUGCUCCGACCA